AAACUAAAUCAAACUUGAGUAUGAAACUUCUUUUUUUUUAAGUGCCUAAGUCCUGAAUGACAACAAAAGACUGAAGAACUGACAACGAUUAGAGGACACUAAGGAGACUUAACAACUAAAUGCAAAAUGGGACCCUGAAUCUGAUCCUGGAACACAAAAACUAAAUUAGUAGAAAAGUGGUAAAAUAGGUGGUCGCGCGCCCGACCGCCGCAGUCCCAGUCGAGCCGCGACCCUUCCGGCUGCCCCCACCCCACCUCGCCGCCAUGUGCCUCCGCCGCCCAGCGCUGUUCCCGGGCGUGGCGCUGCUUCUCGCCGCGGCCCGCCUCGCGGCUGCCUCCGACGUGCUAGGACUCAGGGACGACAACUUGGAGAGUCGCAUCUCCGACACGGGCUCUGCGGGCCUCAUGCUCGUCGAGUUCUUCGCCCCCUGGUGUGGACACUGCAAGAGACUUGCUCCUGAGUAUGAAGCUGCAGCUACCAGAUUAAAAGGAAUAGUCCCAUUAGCAAAGGCUGAUUGCACUGCCAACACUAACACCUGUAAUAAAUAUGGAGUCAGUGGAUAUCCAACCCUGAAUAUGUUUAGAGAUGGUGAAGAAGCAGGUGCUUAUGAUGGACCUAGGACUGCUGAUGGAAUUGUCAGCCACCUGAAGAAGCAGGCAGGCCCAGCUUCAGUGCCUCUCAGGACUGAGGAAGAAUUUAAGAAAUUCAUUAGUGAUAAAGAUGCCUCUAUAGUAGGUUUUUUCGAUGAUUCAUUCAGUGAAGCUCACUCCGAGUUCCUAAAAGCAGCCAGCAACUUGAGGGAUAACUACCGAUUUGCACAUACGAAUGUUGAGUCUCUGGUGAACGAGUAUGAUGAUAACGGAGAUGGUAUCAUCUUAUUUCGUCCUUCACAUCUCACUAACAAGUUGGAGGACAAGACUGUGGCAUAUACAGUGCAAAAAAUGACCAGUGGCAAAAUUAAAAAGUUUAUCCAGGAAAACAUUUUUGGUAUCUGCCCUCACAUGACAGAAGACAAUAAAGAUUUGAUACAGGGCAAGGACUUACUUAUUGCUUACUAUGAUGUGGACUAUGAAAAGAAUGCUAAAGGUUCCAACUACUGGAGAAACAGGGUAAUGAUGGUGGCAAAGAAAUUCCUGGAUGCUGGGCACAAACUCAACUUUGCUGUAGCUAGCCGCAAAACCUUUAGCCAUGAACUUUCUGAUUUUGGCUUGGAGAGCACUGCUGGAGAGAUUCCUGUUGUUGCUAUCAGAACUGCUAAAGGAGAGAAGUUUGUCAUGCAGGAGGAUUUCUCGCGUGAUGGGAAUGCUCUGGAGAGGUUCCUGCAGGAUUACUUUGAUGGCAAUCUGAAGAGAUACCUGAAGUCUGAACCUAUCCCAGAGAGCAAUGAUGGGCCUGUGAAGGUAGUGGUAGCAGAGAAUUUUGAUGAAAUAGUGAAUAAUGAAAAUAAAGAUGUGCUGAUUGAAUUUUAUGCCCCUUGGUGUGGUCACUGUAAGAACCUGGAGCCCAAGUAUAAAGAACUUGGCGAGAAGCUCAGCAAAGACCUGAAUAUCGUCAUAGCCAAGAUGGAUGCCACAGCCAAUGAUGUGCCUUCUCCAUAUGAAGUCAGAGUUUUCCUACCAUAUACUUCUCUCCAGCCAACAAGAAGCUAAAUCCAAAGAAAUAUGAAGGUGGCCAUGAAUUAAGUGAUUUUAUUAGCUAUCUACAACGAGAAGCUACAAACCCCCCUGUAAUUCAAGAAGAAAAACCCAAGAAGAAGAAGGCACAGGAGGAUCUCUAAAGCAGUAGGCAAACACCACUUUGUAAAAGGACUCUUCCACCAGAGAUGGGAAAACCACUGGGGAGGACUAGGACCCAUAUGGGAAUUAUUACGUCUCAGGGCCGAGAGGACAGAAUGGAUAUAAUCUGAAUCCUGUUAAAUUUUCUCUAAGCCAUUUCUUAGCUGCACUGUUAUGGAAAUACCAGGACCAGUUUAUGUUUGUGGUUUUGGGAAAAAUUAUUGGUGUUGGGGGAAAUGUUGUGGGAGUCGGGUUGAGUUGGGGGUAUUUUCUAAUUUUUUUGUGCAUUUGGAACAGUGACAAUAAAUAAGACCCCUUUAAACU